rnacentral:misc_RNA from 1 species
GAAAUGCGAUAAGUAAUGUGAAUUGCAGAAUUCAGUGAAUCAUCGAAUCUUUGAACGCACAUUGCGCCCUCUGGUAUUCCGGGGGGCACGCCUGUCCGAGCGUCAUUUCAACCCUCAAGCCUCGCUUGGUCUUGGGCGCGGUCUAGCGACCCGCCCGUAACACCUCUGGCGGCACCGUCCGGCUCGAAGCGUAGCAAGAUUUACUCCCUCGCUUCGGGGACGCGGCGGUGCCCGGCCACCGAAAACAGCACCUAGAGUUUGACCUCGGAUCAGGUGGGGAUACCCGCUGAACUUAA